UGCGUAGGUGGCGCGCUAAGUCAGGUGUGAAAUUUCGGAGCUUAACUCCGAAACUGCAUUUGAUACUGGCGUGCUUGAGGACUGGAGAGGAGACUGGAAUUCACGGUGUAGCAGUGAAAUGCGUAGAUAUCGUGAGGAAGACCAGUGGCGAAGGCGGGUCUCUGGACAGUUCCUGACACUGAGGCACGAAGGCCAGGGGAGCAAACG
rnacentral:rRNA from 1 species